rnacentral:rRNA from 1 species
CCUACGGGCGGCUGCAGUGGGGAAUAUUGCGCAAUGGGGGGAACCCUGACGCAGCGACGCCGCGUGAAGGAAGAAGGCCUUCGGGUUGUAAACUUCUUUGAUGAGGGACGAAGGAAGUGACGGUACCUCAAAAACAAGCCACGGCUAACUACGUGCCAGCAGCCGCGGUAAUACGUAGGUGGCGAGCGUUGUCCGGAAUUACUGGGUGUAAAGGGCGUGUAGGCGGGGAUGCAAGUCAGAUGUGAAAUACCGCGGCUUAACCGCGGGGCUGCAUCUGAAACUGUGUCUCUUGAGUGUCGGAGAGGAAAGCGGAAUUCCCAGUGUAGCGGUGAAAUGCGUAGAGAUUGGGAGGAACACCGGUGGCGAAGGCGGCUUUCUGGACGACAACUGACGCUGAGGCGCGAAAGCGUGGGGAGCAAACAGGAUUAGAUACCCGAGUAGUC